rnacentral:sRNA from 1 species
CGAGAGAGCGUUGCCGCAGGCAACGACCCGAAGGGCGAAGCGCGCAGCGCUGAGUAAUCCUUCCCCCACCACCA